CCUACGGGUGGCAGCAGUGAGGAAUAUUGGUCAAUGGGCGGAAGCCUGAACCAGCCAUCCCGCGUGAAGGAUGAAGGCCUUAUGGGUUGUAAACUUCUUUUCUGAUGGAAGAAAUUCCCCGACGCGUCGGGGUUUGCCGGUACAUCAGGAAUAAGCAUCGGCUAACUCCGUGCCAGCAGCCGCGGUAAUACGGAGGAUGCAAGCGUUAUCCGGAUUUAUUGGGUUUAAAGGGUGCGCAGGUGGCUUAGUAAGUCAGUGGUGAAAGUCUGCCGCUUAACGGUAGGACUGCCAUUGAUACUGCUAGGCUUGAGUUUGGAUGAGGUAGGCGGAAUGUGUAGUGUAGCGGUGAAAUGCAUAGAUAUUACACAGAACACCGAUUGCGAAGGCAGCUUACUAAUCCGCAACUGACACUGAGGCACGAAAGCGUGGGGAUCAAACAGGAUUAGAUACCCCGGUAGUC
rnacentral:rRNA from 1 species